GGCGCUUUGGCAGAGUGGCCUAAUGCGGUGCCCUGCUACCCCUUAGUGUUCUUAAGCAAGGCAUUCUCUUCGGAGGCGCAGGUUCGAAUCCUGCAGGCGUCG